AAACAAAAAAGGAAGGCCAAAGAGAGAUUCCGUGAUUUUUUUUUUUUUUAGAGGUCGCUUAAAUCCCAACGCUAGACCCGGUGGCAAUCAAGGUCUAGCCACCAGGUCUAGCAUUGGGAUUUAAGCCCAGCUUUCCUCUGCAAAACUCAUAGCCAUCCAAGUUAAUAUAACUAUUGCACAGUUGAUGAGAGAGUCAAGUUUCACCACCCUCAAAACACCUUUAAGGCCUUGCAUUCAUGAUUAAUUCAAUAUAUUCAUCGUCUUAUUUAAAUCCUUGAACAAACCUUUUCAAUACAUAUCAUUAACUUCAUCAACUGAUGAAUACGUCACGUCCCAACCCCCGUGGGAACGCUGGGAGCCUGCACUCCUCCCUCAGACCUUUGAUUUGCCCAAGGUCUGAGUUGACAGGUGGCAAAGUCAGGAUGUAAACCAACGUGGUUUAACUCCAAGAACAAUAGAGGUAGACUAUGGGUCUCCUAAAACAAAGUCCUUCCCUAUACCUCCAAUACCAGAGUUGAAAGGAUUUCAUGUGUAAUUGGUUGUGCCAGUUUUCCAGGAAGAGGAUUACAUCCAAAACAACGGAUAAUCUAUGUCUGACAUUGGGCUUUGGAAUGACUUUUUUUUUUUUUUUUUUUUUAAGACAGAGUCUCACCCUGUCACCCAGGCUGGAGUGCAGAGGCGCGAUCUCGGCUCACUGCAACCUCCGCCUCCCGGUUAAAGUGAUUCUUCUGCCUCAGCCUCCCGAGUAGCUGGGACUACAGAGACAAGGUCUGACUCUGUGCAGUGGAGUGCAGUGGCUCAAUCAUAGCUCACUCCAGCCUCAGACUCCUGGGCUGAAGUGAUCCUCCCACCUCAAACUCCUGAAUAGCUGGGACUACAGGCAACAAGCUCUGCCAAUUUUUUCUUCGAAGAGUUUUGUUCCAAGCUGGGAGCCGUGGCUCAUGCCUGUCAUCCCAGCACUUUGGGAGGCCAAGCUGGGCAUGGUGGCAUGUGCCUGUGGUUCCAGUUACUUGGGAAGCUGAAGUGGGAGGAUCGCUUGAGCCCAGGAGGUCAAGGCUACAGUGAGCUGUGAUGGUGUCAUUGCAUUCCAGCACUCCAGCCCGGGCAUCAGAGUUAGACCUUGUCUUAAAAAAUAAAUAAAUGAAUAAAUAUAAAUAAAAAAUAAAAAGCUUUUA